rnacentral:rRNA from 1 species
UGGGGAAUAUUGCACAAUGGGCGCAAGCCUGAUGCAGCAACGCCGCGUGAGUGAUGAAGGUCUUCGGAUUGUAAAGCUCUGUCUUUGGGGACGAUAAUGACGGUACCCAAGGAGGAAGCCACGGCUAACUACGUGCCAGCAGCCGCGGUAAUACGUAGGUGGCAAGCGUUGUCCGGAUUUACUGGGCGUAAAGGGUGCGUAGGUGGAUAUUUAAGUCAGAUGUGAAAUCCCUGGGCUCAACCCAGGACCUGCAUUUGAAACUGGAUGUCUAGAGUGCGGGAGAGGUAAGUGGAAUUCCUAGUGUAGCGGUGAAAUGCGUAGAGAUUAGGAAGAACACCAGUGGCGAAGGCGACUUACUGGACCGUAACUGACACUGAGGCACGAAAGCGUGGGUAGCAAA